rnacentral:rRNA from 1 species
UACGUAGGGUGCAAGCGUUAAUCGGAAUUACUGGGCGUAAAGCGUGCGCAGGCGGUUUUGUAAGUCUGUCGUGAAAUCCCCGGGCUCAACCUGGGAAUUGCGAUGGAGACUGCAAGGCUAGAAUCUGGCAGAGGGGGGUAGAAUUCCACGUGUGAGCAGUGAAAUGCGUAGAGAUGUGGAGGAACACCGAUGGCGAAGGCAGGCCCCCUGGG